AUACCUUUCUCGGCCUUUUGGCUAAGAUCAAGUGUAGUAUCUGUUCUUAUCAGUUUAAUAUCUGAUAUGUGGGCCAUUGGCCCACACGAUAUUAAAUUAAUUUGUUUAGGGGGAAGGCCCGUUUAGGAAGCUUGCUUCCUGGGCUUUCGAGCGUCGUCCAUGCGUUGCACUACUGCACGGGCCUGGCGUACCCCAC
rnacentral:snRNA from 1 species